rnacentral:rRNA from 1 species
AGUCGAGCGGAACGACACUAACAAUCCUUCGGGUGCGUUAAUGGGCGUCGAGCGGCGGACGGGUGAGUAAUGCCUAGGAAAUUGCCUUGAUGUGGGGGAUAACCAUUGGAAACGAUGGCUAAUACCGCAUAAUGCCUACGGGCCAAAGAGGGGGACCUUCGGGCCUCUCGCGUCAAGAUAUGCCUAGGUGGGAUUAGCUAGUUGGUGAGGUAAUGGCUCACCAAGGCGACGAUCCCUAGCUGGUCUGAGAGGAUGAUCAGCCACACUGGAACUGAGACACGGUCCAGACUCCUACGGGAGGCAGCAGUGGGGAAUAUUGCACAAUGGGCGAAAGCCUGAUGCAGCCAUGCCGCGUGUAUGAAGAAGGCCUUCGGGUUGUAAAGUACUUUCAGUUGUGAGGAAGGGGGUAGUGUUAAUAGCGCUAUCUCUUGACGUUAGCAACAGAAGAAGCACCGGCUAACUCCGUGCCAGCAGCCGCGGUAAUACGGAGGGUGCGAGCGUUA